rnacentral:rRNA from 1 species
UACGGGGGGGGCAAGCGUUGUUCGGAAUUACUGGGCGUGAAGGGCUCGUAGGUUGCCAACUAAGUCAGACGUGAAAUCCCUCGGCUUAACCGGGGAACUGCGUCUGAUACUGGAUGGCUUGAGUUUGGGAGAGGGAUGCGGAAUUCCAGGUGUAGCGGUGAAAUGCGUAGAUAUCUGGAGGAACACCGGUGGCGAAGGCGGUUCUCUGGGAAUGUCCUGACGCUGAGGAGCGAAAGUGUGGGGAGCGAACAGG